rnacentral:rRNA from 1 species
UGGGGAAUCUUAGACAAUGGGGGAAACCCUGAUCUAGCCAUGCCGCGUGAGCGAUGAAGGCCUUAGGGUUGUAAAGCUCUUUCAGCUGGGAAGAUAAUGACGGUACCAGCAGAAGAAGCCCCGGCUAACUCCGUGCCAGCAGCCGCGGUAAUACGGAGGGGGCUAGCGUUGUUCGGAAUUACUGGGCGUAAAGCGCACGUAGGCGGAUUAGUCAGUCAGAGGUGAAAUCCCAGGGCUCAACCCUGGAACUGCCUUUGAUACUGCUAGUCUUGAGGUCGAGAGAGGUGAGUGGAAUUCCGAGUGUAGAGGUGAAAUUCGUAGAUAUUCGGAGGAACACCAGUGGCGAAGGCGGCUCACUGGCUCGAUACUGACGCUGAGGUGCGAAAGCGUGGGGAGCAAAACAGGAUUAGAUACCCUGGUAGUCCACGCCGUAAACGAUGAAUGCCAGUCGUCGGGUUGCAUGCAAUUCGGUGACACACCUAACGGAUUAAGCAUUCCGCCUGGGGAGUACGGUCGCAAGAUUAAAACUCAAAGGAAUUGACGGGGUCAUAGCUGUUUCC